rnacentral:misc_RNA from 1 species
GACGAAGAACGCAGCGAAAUGCGAUACUUGGUGUGAAUUGCAGAAUCCCGUGAACCAUCGAGUCUUUGAACGCAAGUUGCGCCUCAAGCCAUUAGGUUGAGGGCACGUCUGCCUGGGCGUCACAUAUCGUUGCCUGAUGCCAGUUUCCUCGUGAUGGGUGACUGUGCAGGGCGAAUGAUGGCUUCCCGUGAGCAUUGUUGCCUCAUGGUUGGUUGAAAAUUGAGUCCUUGGUAGGGAGCGCCGUGAUAGAUGGUGGUUGAGUGACGAACGAGACCCAAUCAUGUGAGACCCCUACCGAAUUUGGCCUUCAUGACCCACAUGCGUCUUUGGAACGCUCAUGACGAGACCUCAGGUCAGGCGGGGCUACCCGCUGAGUUUAAGCAUAUCAAUAAGCGGAGGA